CUUUAAACUAAAUAUCUACAAUUUUUUAUCCAGUGGUGUUUGAAGAGAACAACCCAGCUACAAAAUCAAGUGUAGACUGGGAAGAAGAGCAGGUGGAAGGGGAAGAGCUAGAUCUUGUUUUGUGAGACCCCCAAACCCUGCACCAAGGCUUCCUGGCUACCGAGCAGAGUUCGAAGACUCAAUGCAUUGGAAGGGGAAUGUGGAAGGAGUGAAACAGGCCUCUACGGUCUUUGGAAGCUGGCCAGGGGUGAGGCCAUUGGAUCUAUAUUUAGGAGGGGUUUCACUUAAUAGGGCUUGCAGCUGUGCAUAGGUUGGGGUGUGAAUUCCAUCUCUCCCGACAUACAAAACCAAAGCUUUAUUAAAGAAGCAGUGACUUCGA